rnacentral:tRNA from 1 species
AGGGUGCUAGCUCAAUGGAAGAGCGUAUGCCUUACAAGCAGGAGGUUGGUGGUUCGAUUCCUCUAUGCCCUA